CCUACGGGCGGCAGCAGUAGGGAAUAUUGCUCAAUGGGGGAAACCCUGAAGCAGCCAUGCCGCGUGAAGGUCAGUGCCCUAUGGGCGUUAAACUUCUUUUGUGCGGGAGCAAUAAUGGUCACGUGUGGCCAGACGAGAGUACCGUACGAAUAAGCAUCGGCUAACUCCGUGCCAGCAGCCGCGGUAAUACGGGGGAUGCAAGCGUUAUCCGGAUUUAUUGGGUUUAAAGGGUGCGUAGGCUGUGAGGUAAGUCAGCGGUGAAAUGCCCCCGCUCAACGGGGUGAAGUGCCAUUGAUACUGCCGUGCUGGAAUGCGGAUGCCGUGGGAGGAAUGUGUGGUGUAGCGGUGAAAUGCAUAGAUAUCACACAGAACACCGAUUGCGAAGGCAUCUCACGAAUCCGCGAUUGACGCUGAUGCACGAAAGCGUGGGUAUCAAACAGGAUUAGAUACCCGGGUAGUC
rnacentral:rRNA from 1 species